rnacentral:tRNA from 1 species
GGUAAAAUGGCUGAGAUGAGGCAAUAAAUUGUAAAUUUAUAAACGAAAUGUAUAUUUUCUUUUACCA